GUCAGGAUAGCUCAGUUGGUAGAGGAGAGGACUGAAAAUC
rnacentral:tRNA from 2 species